GGCAGCGUGCAUAACACAUGCAAGUCGAACGGUAGUAUUAUCUUCGGAUAAUAUGAGAGUGGCGAACGGGUGAGUAACACGUAAGAAUCUACCUUUAGGACGGGGAUAACUUCUGGAAACGGAUGCUAAUACCCGAUAUGCUGUGGAGUGAAAUGAAUUUCGCCUAAAGAUGAUCUUGCGUCUGAUUAGCUAGAUAGGGUGGUAAUGGCGCCCUAUGGCGACGAUCAGUAGCUGGUCUGAGAGGAUGGACAGCCACAUUGGGACUGAGACACGGCCCAAACUCCUACGGGAGGCAGCAGUGGGGAAUUUUCCGCAAUGGGCGAAAGCCUGACGGAGCGACGCUGCGUGAAGGAUGACGGCCUGAGGGUUGUAAACUUCUUUUCUCGAAGAAGAAUCAAUGACGGUAUUCGAGGAAUAAGCAUCGGCUAACUCUGUGCCAGCAGCCGCGGUAAGACAGAGGAUGCAAGUGUUAUUCGGAUUGAUUGGGCGUAAAGCGUCUG
rnacentral:rRNA from 1 species